CCUUUGCGAGCUGCCACAUUAAUGAUGCUCACAUAGAAUGCAUCACUAUUUGUAACAUCAUGUACACUAUUCUAGAAUGAGUACUUUUACAUUAAAUACUUAUAUAUUUUGAUUGACCUUUACUUGUAAAAGUAUUUUUACACUGCAGUACAGGAGUACAGUGUAAAAGCUAUAGUGAUAAUCGGAGAUGAGUUUGUCCCUUACAUCACAAAACAGGAUACAGAAAGGUUAACCUGCAACACACAAAACACAUCACUAGAUGGAAGCAAAAGCUCAUGUGAAGAACAAACAAUUCAUUCAGACUGAAGCUGCUUUUCAGCACAGUUUUUCAUCAAACCUCUCAGGAGCAUUUCUCCUCAAAAGCCUUUGGGAUAACCCGCCACGCUAGUGAUGAUGAGAUCAUUCACGGAUAAACUAGAAAAUUCCCUGUUAUUAUUCCUUUGAUAAAACCUUUUCAAAAUAGUGUGAAGUGUGAAACAUGAAACACGCAGCAUAUAAUUAAUCUACAUACAUCCGUUGAGUUCAGGCUUCUCUGUAACAAGACACAUUGCAAUUAGUGAGAUAAAUGGAACUUAAUAGCAUUUAUUGUGUUUCCUGGUCACUUCAGCGUUGCAAUUUUGUGAGCUCAUAAAUUUAUACAAAAAGCUCACGGAAUCAAGUUUCAAAAGAAACAGCGUCGGAUUUCUGCCAGAAGGUGUUAUUACACCUAAACCACAGCAAACAGCAAAAUAUUCAGAAGGAGUCCCUAUAUCAUUUGAUUUGUUUGAGGCAGGGGCCUUUGUGCCUGGCUCAGCACAUUAUUGAUCUUGGGGUUAUUUUUCUUUCUCCUGAGAGCUGUUGCAAACGGGCUGUGCAAGAGGCCGUUCAAGUCUGCAAGAGAGAAAAUCUAUGGGUUAAUUGAUUGCUAGCAACCGCAUCGUAAAUAGCCAAACAAAAGCAUGUUUUUCUUGUUCAGAGGGAGAUUCGUUUCUGUUCUCAAGCUUUAUUUUAAUUUAUACAAUUUUUUUUUUGUAACUAAUUUACAUUGAUUAAAUACAUCCAAGUGCUGUGUUCCGAACUCCAAAUGUCCAAUGCUUAAACUGCUAUAGGUGCUACAGUGAGAACUGUAAUCAUCUAAUAUAGACUGCUGUACAGAAGAACACACACACACAUACUUAUAGAGAUGACAUGUCUGAGAAAUAUGCUUAUGAGUCAACGAUGCGAGAAACUGAGGUGCAAGCAUCAACGCAAGGAAACAUUCUAACCCACAACUUCCUGUCAAAUCUUUGAAAUCUUUAAAAAUGAAAAGUUCACGCCUGAGGUUUAGACGCAGUUUCACUGUCCUACACAGUGCAUUCCUGGUCACUGAGUGUUUUGAGAAGAAUGUCACAGAGCACGGCAGCUAAGAGGCCAAAUAUGCCACUGAGCUGGUCUUAAAAGGAGUGCCGCUCUAACUGCAACGCUCCUGUAGGUGCUCCUUUGUUGAGACAUUAUAUCCCUGAGAAAGAGCAAACUAUUGUUUGUGAAACCACCUACUCGCUUAUCUCACCUCCACCGAACUUAACUUCAUUUGGAAAACUGCAAAUUGCAGAGGAAAGGUUAAAUUACAUGAAGAUAACUGUUUUUGGUGAUAUAUCAUAAUUCCUGAUUGAUGAUAAUAGAGGAGGUACUUUGGUAUACAACAGAGCAGGCUUUGUCACAGCACAAAGCAUUUAUUAUCCCCAUGGCAGAGGGGAAACAGUCCUCAUGCAGCCCGCUUCCUGCUUAUCUCAGACAUGGGGAAGGCACUAUAUAAUCACUGGCCGUCUGGAUGUCAGACUGUAGUAUCUGAAGUCCAUGCUCUAGUUGUUUCCUGUUACAAAUGUUAGACAACACUGUGAUCAAUACAUUUUCUGGCUUUUCCGUUUCUAAUAAAAAGCACUUUGUAACCUAAAAUACUGAGACACCUUGCAGAGAGGAAAUCAUAUGGGUUGGAUGAGAUCAUUUCUUUAUCGUGACAACAAAGUAUAGUAGGGCAGACACCAAAAAAAAGUGGAAAUUGUAAAACCAAGCAUUACAUAAUAAAGCCAGUGUACUUGCCUUUAUUCACUCUUCACCGUGGCAGCAUGUCCUGAGAUGAUGACCUAUAGUGUAUUUGUAGUUAUGUCUAUACUGUAUUUAUGUGAUCUAAUAAAUAUACCAUAUUCUUAUCAUACAUUAAGCAGGCUCUCUUCAGUUCAUGUUACUGAAUCUAUAUAUAUGUAGAAACAUAUCCCCCU
ensembl:lncRNA